UACAGAGGGUGCAAGCGUUAUCCGGAUUCACUGGGUUUAAAGGGUGCGUAGGCGGGUAUAUAAGUCAGUGGUGAAAGCUCCGGGCUUAACUUGGAAACUGCCAUUGAUACUGUAUAUCUUGAAUGUCGUAGAGGUUAGCGGAAUGUUGCAUGUAGCGGUGAAAUGCUUAGAUAUGUUACAGAACACCAAUUGCGAAGGCAGCUAACUAUGCGAUGAUUGACGCUGAGGCACGAAAGCGUGGGGAGCAAACAGG
rnacentral:rRNA from 1 species